CGACAUCAUCACUUUGCUGCGUAGAACUGCGAUCUCGGAGUCAGCAAUAUGUAAGACAAAACAAAGGUUUUCCCCAAAUACAAAACCUCUUGUUCAUUUAGUCGCUCAAUACCUCUUGUUCAUUUGGUCGCUCAAUACCUCUUGUUCAUUUAGUACUCUGAUUGAGGGAAGAUUUCGGGGGUUUGUCUGUUGUGUGAAUACCCGUUGUGAGUCGCAUUUCUCUCCUCCUGAUCAAUCCAUGGCGGUUCCAAACCCUUAUUCAGGCAGUAGCACUCUGGCCCUGGUUGCUCGAGUUUCUGCUUUCACACUUGGACUGGUUUACGGGAGCAUAAAUCUUUCCUAUCUGAAGGGCAAGGCAAAGUCCUGCCAGAAAGCAGAGGGAAAGGGGAAGGACCACCACUGAAGAUGAAUGACUGUGUCCAAUAGACUUCAAUUUGCUAUUGGUUUUUUCUUUUUCUUUGCCAUUAGUUGUAACUCUUUUCUGCAUCCCAAGUUCUAUGUUCAUGCCACUCUAUUAUUGGCAAUUUUUGAAAGAGAAAUCAAAAGGAAAACAGAAGAGUGAUACUUACAUUUAUGUAUCCCAAGUUCUAUGUUCAUGCCACUCUAUUAUUGGCAAUUUUUGAAAGAUUAAGCAAAAGGAAAACAGAAGAGUGAUACUUACAUCUAUGUAUCCCAAGGUCUAUGUUCAUGCCACUCUAUUAUUGGCAAUUUUUGAAAGAGAAACCAAAAGGAAAACAGAAGAGUGAUGCUUACACCUAUGUAUCCCAAGUUCUAUGUU